GAUAAACGCUGGCGGCGUGCUUAACACAUGCAAGUCGAACGAAGUUUUUCCUUCGGGAGAAACUUAGUGGCGGACGGGUGAGUAACGCGUGGGUAACCUGCCCUGUACAGGGGGACAACAGCUGGAAACGGCUGCUAAUACCGCAUAAGCACUUAGCACUGCAUGGUGCAUAGGGAAAAGGAGCAAUCCGGUACAGGAUGGACCCGCGUCUGAUUAGCCAGUUGGCAGGGUAACGGCCUACCAAAGCGACGAUCAGUAGCCGAUCUGAGAGGAUGUACGGCCACAUUGGGACUGAGACACGGCCCAGACUCCUACGGGAGGCAGCAGUGGGGAAUAUUGCACAAUGGAGGAAACUCUGAUGCAGCGACGCCGCGUGAGUGAAGAAGUAUUUCGGUAUGUAAAGCUCUAUCAGCAGGGAAGAAAAUGACGGUACUUGACUAAGAAGCACCGGCUAAAUACGUG
rnacentral:rRNA from 1 species